rnacentral:rRNA from 1 species
AACUAACGCUGGCGGCGUGCCUAACACAUGCAAGUCGUACGAGAAAGCCGGCUUCGGCUGGUGAGUAAAGUGGCGCACGGGUGAGUAACGCGUGGAUAAUCUGCCCUUAAGUGUGGAAUAACGUACCGAAAGGUGCGCUAAUACCGCAUAAUGCCUGGCAACACAAGUUGUCCGGCCAAAGAAGGCCUCUGUUUACAAGCUUUCGCUUCAGGAUGAGUCCGCGUACCAUUAGCUUGUUGGUGGGGUAAUGGCCUACCAAGGCUGCGAUGGUUAGCUGGUCUGAGAGGAUGAUCAGCCACACUGGAACUGAGACACGGUCCAGACUCCUACGGGAGGCAGCAGUGAGGAAUAUUGCGCAAUGGGGGCAACCCUGACGCAGCAACGCCGCGUGAGUGAGGAAGGUUUUCGGACUGUAAAGCUCUGUCGAGCGGGAAGAAGUGUACCAUGGCUAAUAUCCAUGAUAUUUGACGGUACCGCUAG